UGGGGAAUUUUGGACAAUGGGCGCAAGCCUGAUCCAGCCAUGCCGCGUGCAGGAUGAAGGCCUUCGGGUUGUAAACUGCUUUUGUACGGAACGAAAAAGCUCUCUCUAAUACAGGGGGUGAAUGACGGUACCGUAAGAAUAAGCACCGGCUAACUACGUGCCAGCAGCCGCGGUAAUACGUAGGGUGCAAGCGUUAAUCGGAAUUACUGGGCGUAAAGCGUGCGCAGGCGGUUAUGUAAGACAGAGGUGAAAUCCCCGGGCUCAACCUGGGAACUGCCUUUGUGACUGCAUAGCUGGAGUGCGGCAGAGGGGGAUGGAAUUCCGCGUGUAGCAGUGAAAUGCGUAGAUAUGCGGAGGAACACCGAUGGCGAAGGCAAUCCCCUGGGCCUGCACUGACGCU
rnacentral:rRNA from 1 species